UACGGAGGAUGCGAGCGUUAUCCGGAUUUAUUGGGUUUAAAGGGUGCGUAGGCGGGUUGUUAAGUCAGCGGUAAAAUUUGGAGGCUCAACCUCCACGAGCCGUUGAAACUGGCGGUCUUGAGUGGGCGAGAAGUAUGCGGAAUGCGUGGUGUAGCGGUGAAAUGCAUAGAUAUCACGCAGAACCCCGAUUGCGAAGGCAGCAUACCGGCGCCCGACUGACGCUGAAGCACGAAAGCGUGGGUAUCGAACAGG
rnacentral:rRNA from 1 species